rnacentral:rRNA from 1 species
CGCAGCCGCGGUAAUUCCAGCUCCAAUAGCAUAUAUUAAAGUUGUUGCAGUUAAAAAGCUCGUAGUUGAAUUUCGGGACCAAUUUGUUGGUCGUGCCUCGGUACGUACUGGUAUUAUUGGUUUCUCCCUUCUGAAGAACCUCGAUGCCAUUAAUUUGGUGUCGUGGGGAAUCAGGACUGUUACUUUGAAAAAAUUAGAGUGUUUAAAGCAAGCAUACGCUUGAAUACAUUAGCAUGGAAUAAUGAAAUAGGACGUUUGAUUCUAUUUUGUUAGGUUUCUAGGAUCGACGUAAUGAUUAAUAGGGAUAGGUUGGGGGCAUUAGUAUUCAACUGUCAGAGGUGAAAUUCUUGGAUUUAUUGAAGACUAACUACUGCG